CCGGGCUCCUGGUUACGAUCAAAGACUCACCUCGCCUCCCGGCAGCGGGCGCGGACAUCUUUGCGCUCGCCCAGCCCCGCAGCCGCGCGGCGUCCCGGCGGCGCGGAGUACUCUAGGAGUUGUAGUUCCUCAGCUCUCGGCCCAUCGCCUUCUGUAAUGGAAGUAGGAGGCAGAGCGCGGACUACAACCCCCAGCACGCCGCGCCCCGGAAGCCGCCCCUGUGCCGUGAGAAAACAAACUGGUGCUACAGCUUCGGGGUGCGGAAGUCAAAACGAAGCAAAACCGAAGCUGUCUUGUGAAAUGGAGGGGUCCUCACUAACCAGUUCCAGCGGAGGCUAACGGAAGAAGUGCCAGCAAUGGAUGUGCAGCUACAUGCACGCUUUUAAUUCAGAGCUUCUGCGACGGUGGCGAUCAGGGGAUCUGUAAUGUAAUGUAAUGUCAAGGCUGACGCAGAGCUGAUCAAACAUUUUGGCAACCUUAGUCUUGAAUUGAUUCACACUUUCUCCGCGUUGCCUCCGGAGUUUGCUGUAGGGUAAUGAAUAUUGCCUGGUGAGGAUGAGGGACUUAGGGUGGAAACCUUCACAAGGACCACUGAGAAUAUGUUGGUCCCAAGGGCAAUGUUCCAAAAUGAAUAGUGACCCCACCGAGGCGGGGUUGGGGGCGCUGAGCAUAAGGGCCUCAUUUUUCUCACUGCUCUCUGCCCCAUCCUGAAUUUGCUGUUAAAAAACAACGUUAAAUGCAGAUACCAAUUCCACUUCCCCACUGUUGUCACUUCCGAUCUGUCUUUAUAUUUCUCCUUAUCAUUUAUCACCAUCUACAUACCAAUGUCUAUAUUUUACUUAUUUUUAUUGUCUAUUUCCUUCCACUAUGAUAUAAACUCACAAAGGCGGUCCAGACUUCUCUUUCCUCGGAGUCUGGUGGACUUGGUUCUGCCUCAGCUUCCCAUGCAGACUUUUCUGCAAGAGAACGGAAAUCCCAGAAGAUGGAUGUGUGCAUGUCUGGUGACAAGGGCAGGGGAUGUAUGAUGUGAGCAGGUGCCUGUUUAAUCUAAUUUCUAGGAGAGCAAAGAUUCUAGGGAAGCUUUGGAGUGAAUUCAAAGGGUAGAGAACUGGGGAGAAACUAAAGCCAAGAGGAUCUAGUACAAAUGUGGGAAGCUUGGCAAAGCCCGGGUGAAACAGAAUAUAAUAAUAAGUGUGAUUUGUGGAUCUGUUUAAAAUUAUUAUUAUAGUUACAAUUUACCAAAUACUCUGUUCCCAGUACUUUACUAUAAAGUGCAUUAUGUACGGUAUGGUUUUGUUUUUCACAAUGUCCUUAUUUUACAUUGUGUAACUUGCUCAUGGAAUGACUGUGUAUCCCCUGAAUAGCAAACAUACUUAGUUCUGUCCCUGCAGAGCAGAGUAGAGCUCAAUACACAUCUUUGAACCAAAAGAGCCUCGGUUUGACUGAGAUUUUGUCGCUUACUAGUUGUGUGACCUCGGCAAUUUAUUUAAAUAAGCUCUGAUUUCCUCACCUGUAAAAUUGGGAUAACAGUUUGUCCUUAGCUCCCAAUGGCUGAGGGAAGAAUUAAGUAAUAUUGCGCAUAAAGCGCCAUGCGCAUUAAGCACUGAAAAUGUGAGCCAGGCCUGGGAAGACGAACAUGCUCAGAAGCGGCCAGCUCUAAGCGGCUGCUGCCUGGAAAAGUCCCUUUCCUAACAAAUUUCUUGCUAUUCCAAAUUUGUCCAGGAGAUGGAGGCACAGUCUUAACAGAAGCAGCCUUGCUAAAAGUAAAUUUGCCUAUUUAGUAGUGAGACAGCCAGAAUGAGGUCAAGAUAUUUAAGGCAGGAGAGAGGAGAGCUAGAAACCAUAUAAAAAUAUGAUUGUAUUCC
rnacentral:lncRNA from 10 species